rnacentral:misc_RNA from 1 species
GAUGAAGAACGCAGCGAAAUGCGAUAAGUAAUGUGAAUUGCAGAAUUCAGUGAAUCAUCGAAUCUUUGAACGCACAUUGCGCCCCCUGGUAUUCCGGGGGGCAUGCCUGUUCGAGCGUCAUUUCACCACUCAAGCCUCGCUUGGUAUUGGGCAACGCGGUCCGCCGCGUGCCUCAAAUCGACCGGCUGGGUCUUCUGUCCCCUAAGCGUUGUGGAAACUAUUCGCUAAAGGGUGUUCGGGAGGCUACGCCGUAAAACAACCCCAUUUCUAAGGUUGACCUCGGAUCAGGUAGGGAUACCCGCUGAACUUAAGCAUAUCAUAAGCGGAGGA